AAAAGACUUAGUCCUAACCUUACUAUUGGUUUCUACUAAACCUAUACAUGCAAGUAUCCGCAACCCGGUGUAAAUGCCCUCAAAAUCUUACUAAGACAGAAGGAGCUGGCAUCAGGCACGCCCGCGCAGCCUACGACGCCUUGCUCAGCCACACCCCCACGGGCCAUCAGCAGUAAUUAACAUUAAGCAAUAAGUGUAAGCUUGACUUAGCUAUAGUAGACCAGGGUUGGUAAAUCUUGUGCCAGCCACCGCGGUCAUACAAGAAACCCAAAUCAAUCGUACACGGCGUAAAGAGUGGCCCGAGCACUAUCCCCGCCAACUAGGACCAAACUGCAACCGAGCUGUCAUAAGCCCAAGAUGCACCUAAACCCUCUAUUAACACAGUCCUAGUACUAAGGAAUGACCCUCCCCACGAAAGCCAGGAAACAAACUGGGAUUAGAUACCCCACUAUGCCUGGCCCUAAAUCCUGGUGUUCCCUUCACCUAAACACCCGCCCGGGGACUACGAGCACAAACGCUUAAAACCCUAAGGACUUGGCGGUGCCCCAAACCCCCCUAGAGGAGCCUGUUCUAUAAUCGAUAACCCACGUUACACCCCACCCCCCCUUGCCCUGCCAGCCUAUAUACCGCCGUCGCCAGCUCACCUUAAAUGAAAGCCCAGCAGUGAGCACAAUAAUCUCACCCAUUAACAAGACAGGUCGAGGUAUAGCCCAUGGGGGGGAAAGAAAUGGGCUACAUUUUCUAACCUAGACUACUGACGAAAGAGGACCUGAAAACGGACCUCAGAAGGAGGAUUUAGCAGUAAAACAUGACAAUCAAGCCUGUUUUAAGCUGGCCCUGGAGCACGUACAUACCGCCCGUCACCCUCUUCACAAGCCCCUAACUAACCCUUAACUAACCCCCCAACUAGCUGAAGACGAGGUAAGUCGUAACAAGGUAAGUGUACCGGAAGGUGCACUUAGCACACC
rnacentral:ncRNA from 1 species